UCUUCUCCUCUCACCUUAAGGUGCACAUCGCCACUUUACGCAUCUCUACACCUCCUUGUGGUCACCGCUUCCGCUGAGAGACCAGACAUUGACUGCGACUCCUCGCUUUCGCACCCCUCGCUUGUCCUAAUCUAUGGGACCAUCAAGUGCGGCAUUUGCUACUCACGAUUCACAAUCCCCCAAAGGCGGGGAAUCACGACGUCGAUUGCGUAAUUCGUGAGGCGGACCCCUCAUGCCAGCGUUCUGACUUUGAGUUUCCUUAACUGCCCCCGGGCGUGUUCGCCACCUCGUACACCAAAUUAAGCUUCGUUGCGCUUCUUGGAAUGGUCCAGAACUGUAGGAGACUGUUAGGAUCUCUAUCCUGCAGGGGAAGCCCCCGUCUCACUGUCCACCACGUACCAACAGCAGUCGAGCACAGCACUCUACAACCCAAUUCAGGGCGUUGCUCGCGUUGGGAACUAGAAUCAACGGUCGUAAGUCAACCCGUGAGAUUCCACUGACGGCCACUGUUUGGCCUCCUUCCACCCCUACUGCAGUUUAGUAGUACGGGGAAUACUGGACCCGAUGUGUGCACGAUGUUACCUGUCUUGUUUCCCGUCGCUUUGGCGCUCCAAUUCGGUUAGGGUGUUUAGACAAGAGUCAAGCCUAGCGUCAGACGUUGAGCUGACGCACUUCGACCUUAGCGAUCAUUAGCGCCUAGUCGUACGGCGCCACUUAUGCAAGGGCCCGGAACAUGUGUGGCGGGCAGUGUGGUGCUCUCAAACAUUGUGGGCUUCAGCCAAUCCAUUGAAAACCCUUGG
rnacentral:rRNA from 1 species